rnacentral:rRNA from 1 species
UCCAGACUCCUACGGAGGCAGCAGUGGGGGAUAUUGCACAAUGGGGGGAACCCUGAUGCAGCGACGCCGCGUGGGUGAAGGAGCACCUCGGUGCGUAAAGCCCUAUCGGCAGGGAAGAAAAGCGAACAGGUUCGCCUGGACGGUACCUGACUAAGAAGCCCCGGCUAACUACGUGCCAGCAGCCGCGGUAAUACGUAGGGGGCAAGCGUUAUCCGGAAUUACUGGGUGUAAAGGGAGCGUAGACGGCAGUGCAAGUCCGGAGUGAAAGCCCGGGGCUCAACCCUGGGACUGCUCUGGAAACUGUAAGGCUGGAGUGCGGGAGGGGCAGGCGGAAUUCCUGGUGUAGCGGUGAAAUGCGUAGAUAUCAGGAGGAACACCGGCGGCGAAGGCGGCCUGCUGGACCGUAACUGACGUUGAGGCUCGAAAGCGUGGGUAGCGAACGGGAUUAGAUACCCGUGUAU